rnacentral:rRNA from 1 species
UACGUAGGCAGCAAGCGUUGUUCGGAGUUACUGGGCGUAAAGGGCGCGUAGGCGGUCUUGCAAGUCCUGUGUGAAAUCCCUCGGCUCAACUGAGGAACUGCACAGGAAACUGCUUGGCUUGAGUUCGGGAGAGGGAAGCGGAAUUCCGGGUGUAGCGGUGAAAUGCGUAGAUAUCCGGAGGAACACCGGUGGCGAAGGCGGCUUCCUGGACCGACACUGACGCUGAGGCGCGAAAGCUAGGGGAGCAAACGGG